AUACCUUGUGUGUAAUUGCAAUGAUCUCUCUGAAAUUGUACCACAAUGUACCAUAUAACAAAGGGGAGGCUGGGAUUAAGUUUUGGGUUAAUUUUUCUCAUUUCAGAUUUCAUAAAUAAAAAGAAAAUUUCUUCAAACAUAUUUUUGAGAGGAUUAAUAUUCAACAGCAUAGUGAAUUGCUGAAAGGCAAAAGUUUUUUUUAAGUUCAUUAGACCACAUUCAUUCUGUGUCAAAAACCUAUGCUGUGUCAACUAUUUAAUCACAAUCCAAAUUUAGAGCUGAAUCCAGCUUGAAUGUUGUGUCCAUACUUGCCCCAGCCGUUCAGGGUUCAACCUCUGCGGUCGUAUAAAGCUGUGCCCUGCGGAGAAUCUGGUCAAUGAGCUUACAAGUAAAAUAAACAGUCUAAAGGGAUUAUAUUCAUGCAAUUGUACUUUUAUCCUAUAGCACAGAUUGAUAAAUGUUUAUAAAUUGAAUUUACAAUUAUACAAGCUAGUCGUGCUAGUGGGAAAUAUCAUGUUGCUUUACAAUAAAUGUACUUUGAAAUUUUGUAAAAAUAAGAAUUUUCUGCACAAAAAAAAAUCUUUAGGAAUUUUAGGUCCUCCAUUAAUGCCUUCAACUUCAUACUUUAUUUGGCCUAUUAAUCUUUUUCAAGUACAAAAAAAAAUGCAUUCACGUAAUUAAAACCCCUUUAUGUAGCUUGGGUAGCUAUCAAUUUUCCAUUUUUUAUCAC
rnacentral:lncRNA from 1 species